rnacentral:lncRNA from 12 species
AUGGUUCCAGGGGUUUUAUUGUUGUUGGCAUUCUAUCACUUGUUCUGUUGGGGGAGGAGGAAUUAUAUGUUCUCUGCUCUGAAUUCUCGGUGGCCUAACGCUAUUCUGUUCCAAAGUGUUGAACAAUGGGAGUUUGGGGGCCUGCUGGUUAACAAUUUCAGGCUAACCCUCAAAACCAAACUAGCUGCCUUGAAAAUAUUGAAUCUGAGUCAAAGUGAGAACAAAAUGGAAAGUUACAUAGCAUCUCAGGAACCAGACAAAGGAGAAAAAUUAAUUCAUUAAAGGAAAGAAAAAGAGAUAAUUUCAAGGAUUUAUAAUAAAACCCAAACUUUUUGUCUUCUUUUUUCAAACCACUGGGUCUAUUUUUCAGACCUUCAACAUAUCAGGCAUCGUUGAAGACAAAGGGAAUUUGAAGACCACUGCCUUCAAAACACUCAAUUCCAAGAGCAGAAACAGAUGUGCAAGUUAGAGUUAAAGGGAAGAAAGAUUGAUCAAUUCUACCUGACAAAGAAGAAGAAAGGUGUUAUGAAAGGCUUCAGAUCACAGCUAGUUUUUUUCUAAUAUGUCCUAUUUCUUCUCUGAAAUAUUACUUUAGAGUGAUCCUGGAAACUCUCCAAGAUCAUAGCCCACCAAUGAUCAAACAAUGC